GGUAAAAUAGCUGAGUAAGCAUUAAACUGUAAAUCUAAAAACAGUGGUUAAAUCUCCUCUUUUUACCA
rnacentral:tRNA from 1 species